GGGGGGGGCAGGCGGCGCGUGGAAUCAUGUGAAAAAAUCUAAGUUCUUGCGGUACGUGGACGGGAAACCCUUUAGUACCGGAUGGGGGCUCCACUCGAUACUAAAGGUCACGCUUCAGUACCAGGUGAAGAUUUAGUACCGGAUGGAGGCUCCACUCGGUACUAAAGCGUGACCUUAAAGGAGAUCACGGAGGCCUCAUCGGAAGGUCCGGUACUAAUGUUAGCAUUAGUACCAAGCCAAAAGGUGACCAGUACUAAGCCUCAGGAUGAGAGAUCAUUUAUCUAGUAGUGCCAAAAAAAUGAAAAAACAACGAAUAUAUUCAUAUUUUACCGUAAUGACUAAACUCUACGCAAUCAUAAGGCAAGUGCACCACUUCAAUUUACUCUGACUAUAAGAAAAGUAAGACACUAAUGCAGCAAGAGCUAUACAGGGGUUGGAUGAUGUAGAGCAUGGCAAUAAUGGAUGCGGUUGGGAAGGACCAUGGUCCGGUGCCAGAUUAUAUUUCUCGUGGAAGCAAAUUUUGGAUGCCAAUUUCUCUUUCUUCAUAUUGGUCAAACGUUUAUAAAAAACAAGUUCAAUAAUUUGGAUAACCACCGUAUAAUUAAUCUCAAAAUGGACCUCGACCCGGAGCACGUACGUUAAUUUGCUAGUUACAGACACUAGAACAUAAUAAUUCGGCAUCAGUAGCCAAUAUACUUGCCUGGCGAGUUGGGGCGGCUGCAGCAGUGCUGGUCGUUGGUCCGGAGGAGGUCCUUGGCGGCCUCCGGCGACGAGACGACCACGGUGCGCACGCGGCCGAGCCGCACCUCCACGACGGGGCCGUACCUCCGCGCCACCGCAUGGAAGUAGCGGUGCGGCCGGCUGCCGAUCUGGAGGAGGUUGCCCAGCACCGGCAGCUGCUCCGGGGGCCCCGGCGGCGGAGCUCUCCUUCCAUCAUCGGCUGCUCCCUUCUUCCUCCUCCACGACAAGAGCAGGUAGAGGAGAGGAAGGACGACGAGGAGUGGGACCACCACCAGAGGAAGAAGAGGCUGCUGUGUGUCCAUGGUGCCUUCUGCUUCCGUGUUGGCCCGAACAAUAAUUGUGCAUGUGUGCUUACGAUGCUUGGGCUGCUCUGAUUGUUUAUACAUGAGGAGGAGGUGAGUUCCAAUUUAACUGGAUCAUUCACUUUCAGUUCAGUGCGGAGGUGACAAAGAAAUGUGUCGGCAG
rnacentral:lncRNA from 1 species